UACGUAGGGGGCAAGCGUUGUCCGGAAUCAUUGGGCGUAAAGAGCGCGUAGGCGGCCCGGUAAGUCCGCUGUGAAAGUCAAGGGCUCAACCCUUGAAUGCCGGUGGAUACUGUCGGGCUAGAGUGCGGAAGAGGCGAGUGGAAUUCCUGGUGUAGCGGUGAAAUGCGCAGAUAUCAGGAGGAACACCAAUUGCGAAGGCAGCUCGCUGGGACGUAACUGACGCUGAGACGCGAAAGCGUGGGGAGCAAACAGG
rnacentral:rRNA from 1 species